rfam:Listeria phage LP-030-2, complete genome.
AGCAUUGACGAAUGCUACCGUAGAAGUCCGCCUGGUUUUAUAACUACGGAUA